CCAAAAGGGACCACCAAAUACACCCUCCUCGUCUAACAGGAGGAAACUGGAGCCCAGAGAAAGGAAGCCUAACCUCCCAAGAGACCACAGGUCACCAGCAUCAGAGGCAGCACUGGAACCCUGGCUCUUCCUCGCUGCCCUCUUCGACCCAGCCAGACCUCAGUUGCCUAUGAGGCAGGUGGUAUUGGCUUUCAGACACUGGCAGAGCCCAAGAAACAGCACCCAAAUGAAAGGUCCUAAAGUCAACUCAGGAAGUCUGCCGUUAUUUGGAGAAGUAAAUAAAAUACCUCAAUCUAACAGGUGUCUAGAGACAGGGAGAUAAGAUCUGAAAGGAGAGAAAGCACCGGAGGUGCUUUCCCUGUCCCUAAGGGAGAGAAGCAGGGUGGAGGAGUGGGGAUAGAGCUGGCUGGGGAGCCAACCUGGGCCGCGGGGUCUGAGGGACCAUGAACCUCUUACAGCCCACCACUUCUCCAAGCUGCAGAGCCCCCACCUCCGUUGACUCACAGUUUUUCAUCUGAGAGUUCUCUGUGCCAAUGCAAUCAUCCCCUAAGAAACACUCAGCUUAAUCAAUGAACAUUUAUGAAGUACCUACUGUAUGCCAGGCACUGUGCUAAGCACUGGGGAUACAAAAAAAGGCAAAAGAUAGUCCCUGCCCCCGAGGAGCUUCCAAUCUAAUAGAGAGACCAUGUAAACAGCUAUAUACAAAGCAAGCUAUAUGCAGGAAAAAAAGAACAGAAGGAAGAUACUGGAAUUGAGAGGGGUUAAUAGAAGAAAACAUGGUAGCAAUUGAAAAUCUCAGCCUAAUACUGGUCACAAAGGCUUUCUUUCUCUUUUUUAAAAGGAGAAAGAGAAAAUAGAUUUUUGUUAAUUAAUUUUUAAAAAACAUCUUAGCCUCUAGCUUGCACAGGGUUCACUGGGAAAAGCAUGUAUGAGGACCUGAGUUCUAAUCCAACCUGCCAUGUUUUGCCUGUGUGACCUUGGGCAAGUCACUUGUCUUUCCUCUCUCUCUCUCUCUCCUCAGUUUCCCUGCCUGUAAAAUGACAGAAUUGUAGUCGAUGACUUCUGAAGUCCCUUUUAGAUCUAAGUCUUCAGUUCUGCGAUCUUUGGGUUCAUGAGAAUUGAUAAAAAUGUCACUUUCUAUUGCUGCUCAGACCAAUGACAGCUAAUGCUGAUAGUAACUAAUACCAGGUUAGCCCAAGAAAAGAAGUGCCAUCUUCCCUUCUUUACCAGGCCUAGAGUCUGGAAGACCAGAGUUAGAAUCCUGUUUCAGAUACUUACUAGCUGUGUGACCUGAA
rnacentral:lncRNA from 1 species